rnacentral:rRNA from 1 species
UGCGCCUUGCCAGCCCGCUCAGAAACUUAAAGGAAUUGACGGGGGCCCGCACAAGCAGCGGAGCGUGUGGUUUAAUUCGACGCAACGCGAAGAACCUUACCUGGGCUAGACAACGGUGGACAUCCCCAGAGAUGGGGCUUCCCUUCGGGGACUGCCGGUUCAGGUGCUGCAUGGCUGUCGUCAGCUCGUGUCGUGAGAUGUUGGGUUAAGUCCCGCAACGAGCGCAACCCCCGCCUUUAGUUGCUACCGGGUCAUGCCGAGCACUCUAAAGGGACCGCCGGCGUUAAGCCGGAGGAAGGUGGGGAUGACGUCAAGUCCUCAUGGCCCUUAUGUCCAGGGCUACACACGUGCUACAAUGGGCGGUACAGAGGGUUGCCAACCCGCGAGGGGGAGCCAAUCCCAGAAAGCCGGCCUCAGUUCAGAUUGCAGGCUGCAACUCGCCUGCAUGAAGCUGGAGUUGCUAGUAAACGCGCGUCAGCUAUAGUGCGUUGAAUACGUUCUCGGGCCUU